UACGGGGGGGGCAAGCGUUGUUCGGAAUUACUGGGCGUAAAGGGUUCGUAGGUGGCCAACUAAGUCAGACGUGAAAUCCCUCAGCUUAACUGGGGAACUGCGUCUGAGACUGGAUGGCUCGAGUGCAGGAGAGGAACGCGGAAUUCCAGGUGUAGCGGUGAAAUGCGUAGAUAUCUGGAGGAACACCGGUGGCGAAGGCGGCGUUCUGGACUGCAACUGACACUGAGGAACGAAAGCCAGGGGAGCAAACGGG
rnacentral:rRNA from 1 species